GAUGAACGCUGGCGGCGUGCCUAAUACAUGCAAGUCGAGCGAACAGACGAGGAGCUUGCUCCUCUGACGUUAGCGGCGGACGGGUGAGUAACACGUGGAUAACCUACCUAUAAGACUGGGAUAACUUCGGGAAACCGGAGCUAAUACCGGAUAAUAUAUUGAACCGCAUGGUUCAAUAGUGAAAGACGGUUUUGCUGUCACUUAUAGAUGGAUCCGCGCCGCAUUAGCUAGUUGGUAAGGUAACGGCUUACCAAGGCAACGAUGCGUAGCCGACCUGAGAGGGUGAACGGGCCCAAUGGAACUUAGAAACCGUCCAGAAUCCUAAGGGAGGGCGCCGUAGGGAAUCUUGCGCAAUGGGCGAAAGCUUGACGGGGCAACGCCGCGUGAGUUAUGAAGGUCUUCGGAUCGUAAAACCCUGUUAAUAGGGAAGAACCAAUGUGUAAGUAACUAAGCACGGCUUGACGGUAACCAAUCCGAAAGCCACCGCCAACUACGUG
rnacentral:rRNA from 1 species